GUGAGGGUGGUGAGACACUGGCACAGGUUGCCCAGGGAAGCUGUGGCUGCCCACUCCCUGGAAGCGUUCAAGGGCAGGUUGGAUGGGGCUCUGAGCAACCUGGUCCGGUGGGAGGUGUCCCUGCCUGCACAGGGAGGUUGGAACUAGGUGAUCUUUAAGGUGCCUUCCUACUCAAACCAUUCUGUGAUGCUUCUGUGAUUCUAUGAUAAGGCAGUAAUUUCAGUGAAUACACACUCUGGGCAAUCUCCAGUUUCACAUUAGAGACUAUACUGAGUGUUUCUUUUCCUGCUUGUAGUGACAAACUGCAGAAGUCCUGAACAUUUUAUUUGAAAUACAUUUAUUUUAAAAUCCA